GUCUCUUGGCCUCGUGCUGUCUUCACAGCGUGCUGGGAAGGACUGCCCUGUCAUCAGGGAUCGGGUCUUUGCCCUCUAGUCUCUUGGCACUAGGCCAAAUGCAGCCACUGCCCCGAAUGAGCACCCUGUAAACAGGGUACAGGUCUCAUCAGCUACUAUUUAUGGUGCCCCCAUGAGACUGUGUCCAGAGUACCGGCCCUUUAAGCAGCGCUUGCAACGUGCCUGGAAUUCUGCAGCCAAGUCUCCUGCUUUCUCCUCCCUUCUUGGACUCUUGGAGACCUGACAUGCUGUUGGUGGCAUCUUGAAUCACAAGUGGAGAAGAAGGAAGUAUCAAUACCAAGGCAUAACUUUGAAUCUGAAAUGCAGAGACCUUAAACACACAAAUUCUAUAGAACGAUCACUUCCUUUUAUUAAUAAGUCAUCAUUUCCUAUUGGAAGUGCAAGGAUGUGACUGAAGGGAAGGCAUAUUUCUAUUCUGCACUCACCCCCAAUUCUGCCUCCCAAACUCCUCAAAUAAAUUUAAGAUUCACAAAAUUAACAUUUACUCCAGGUAACGCCUAACUUGUGUAUUUCUCACAGAUUUCUAAAAGGGAGCAACAAACUAAAUGUUCUGGCAGCUGACAGUUACUUCCUGCACUUCACAACUUUCAAACACCUACUGUACUUAAACGGUCUCACCAACCAAAGUGUGCCACACAUUCAAUAUUAACUUUGCACCUAUUUUGUCAGAAGUUAGAGUGUUUUUAGUAGUUGUGUCCAUUGGUGGACGUGGCAAUAGUGGUGUUUUAAUAAUCUUUUAUGCUUAUUGAAUUCAGAGGAUGAUGAUGUGGAUGUUUAGGUAGGUAUUUUUCUGUUAAGUCUUGGUAUUUGGGCAGAGGUGCAGCAUUUUGUGAUUAUGAUUGUUUUUCUGGUAUUGGUUUAGUGUUAAUUGUUGGCAAUUUUAGAUGUUUUUGUGUACUUACAUUAGUAGAUGUAUUUAGAGGGCAAAGCUGAGGUUGUCUGUUUGGUGCAAUUUGAUUGGCGUAAAAGUUAAUUUCAGGUAGGUGUUUGAAAGCCCUGAGCUUUGAAUUUGUAGCUCAACGGGGAUGCAGGACCCACCUGGCUACCUCAAUUCUUACUUUCAUUUCUAAUUCCAAAAUCUUGGAUGAAGAUGACCAUAUAAAGAAGAAUAAAGAUAUCUCCAGAGACUUUCAAGAGGGUUGCAUUUCUGCAGCUUAGGAGAUCCCUUAAACCUUAUUGAGCUUUUCAAAGUGCAAUAAUUGUGGAAAACUUCUACUUCUGCCACUAAGUGUUGAACAAUAAUCUGUAUUAAAGGAUUUACACUGGUAGUUAAUUCUGUUCUGUAUUAAGAUGAUUUUGCUAAAAUCACCACUUUAUGAUGUGUGAAAUGAAUUAACUAGGUUUGAUUAUACCUAUUUGAUAAAAGUUGGACUACUCCAUAUUAAAUGCAUGGAUUGAACUUUGAUUGUCAGAUCACAUUGCUUUGCUUUCUGUAACUCCUUAUUUAUGAACGUAUUUAUUACUCUUUAUGUCAUUCAAUUAAUAAAAUGUAUGCAUUCAA